AUGACACUGACAGCUUUUUCUUUAUUACCUGCAGAGGAGAAGAAAGUAAAGAGCACUAAAGUGGAAGCAAAAGUUAAAAAGGAAGUGAAGGAUGGAAAAGGAGAAGCAAAGAUGGCAGAGAAGGUCAAGCAGGCAGAGACAAAACCAACAGAAACUGGGCUAAUAAAGGCCAAAACGAAAGUUAAGGAGGAAAAAGCUCUUCAGACUGUAACUAAAUCGGACAAGAAAGAUCAAUAUGCAUUCUGUCGCUAUGUGAUUGACAUGUUUGCGCAAGGGGAUUUUUAUCCAGGUGCAGGACAUAAGGAAUUGGUACCACCUCGUCUUCUUCUGGAACACAGUCCAAGAAAGAAACCAGCAGCUAUUGAAGGCAAGUUUGAGUUUUAUCGCCUUUAUUGGCUUCUACUCAUUAACUUGACUCUCUGUUCUAAUGGAUUUUUUGGGGGUUUUUUUGGUAAAUAUAAUAUAUAUUAAAAAAGUGAUCACAUUACUAGGCCUGGGACAGGAAUGACACACUGAAAUACACAUGACAGGACCUAAACGUUCCUUAUAGUAGUCUCACAGAUGGCUUGGGGGAUUUCCUGAGUGAAACAGAUUACAGGAUUGAGGCCUAAUCUGUAAAAUGCUUUGAAUGGCAUUCAGCCAUAACUUGCUAUCUAACUAUAAACAUGAUCAACAUUAUCCUCUUAAUAUACUUUGGAUUAGUCUUUCACCUAUUGUUAUUCAGUAAUGUUUCUGUGCAUUAUUUGCAAUAAUUUCUGGCUCUGCAUUUAUCAACCCUGUUGCUAUUGUUAAAACCGCUGAAAGAGAAAUACAAAGUCAGAUCUUACCUUCAGAAGAUUAAAACAUAAUCCCUGAAAUUGAAUUAUAUUGUUUAUAUUCUAAUCAUUACAGUAAAGUGGUUGAAGUAAGCAUUUUAAUUUUAAAAUUAACUAUGUCCAAUGACUUAGAACUACUACUGCAAUAUACAUUCUUGGUCUUUGCAUCAUACAAUUUAAUAGUACAAAACACCUGAGUCUUUUUGUAAAAUUAUGUAGUAGUGCUCAAAUGAUACUUGAGACCUUCAGUUGCACCAUGGCACUUGUUAAUCUCUCUCAUAGAGCUCUUAGUUUUAUGUUAUCCAGAAAGCAAUUGCAGUCUAAGAGAAAAACAGAUUGGGUGGCAGCAGAAUAAGUAACAAGAUUUCCUGCAUUUGAAAACAUAAAAUGAGACCCAGGUUUUGGCCGGACCCAUGACUGAAACAAAGUGUUACAUUAAUUAAAUAUUUCUGUAAUGUGAUUAUUGUGAAUCAGAACAUGUGGAUAAAAAUAGUUAUGUGACUUAUUAUCUCUUUCCCCAAAAUCUUGUUACCUCAAAUGAAUUUUUCUUUUUAAAUGCAUUGUUUAAAGGAGUAUAAAAUUGUGGUUAUUGUGACUCAGUAUAGUACAUAAAUAGAUUUGCAGUCCUGCUUAUUUUAGGAAAAUGUUUGAACCCUGCUUAUCAGCAGGAAGAAGUCCCUUCAGUGUUAAACUCUGUUAUCCGUCAAUUAACCAUAAUGGAAAAAAGACAUAAUAGAACAAGGCUGCCACAUUUGCUGAGUGAUAAACUUAAUCUUUAAAUAUAACUGUUAUACAAGAUGAACUAGCAUCAAAUUAACAUUAGUUCUUGAUUUUCAAAAUCAUGAGGAGCGUACAAUUACUGCAAUUGCACAUAGAAAUGACUAUUUAUGACCAGUUACACAUUUGUGUGUUUCAUUAGCUCAUUUAUGCAUGCAAUUCAGGUAAUUGGGAAUGUAAAUUAGACACCCAUUUGGCAAACAAAUUGGGGGGAAAUUAUCUGCUCAGAACCAUAUAACUAAAUUCCCUUUAAGGCUCAAGGCCAGUCACUAGGAUACAAUACCUUUCACACAAGAGAUUUGGAGGAAAUUAAGAAGGCAGAAUUACUUGUAAAACAUUACUGUGAAAAGCUGUUUUGUUGUGCUAUUCUGUGUUUUCCAUAUAUGAGAAAAUAUGCCACAGUGCCUUGAGGAACCGUAAACCCUGAAGCUUUAUUUCAGACAUAGGGGAAAGAAAAAAAGUAAUUUAUGAGAAUAUUUGGCACAAUGUCAGAAGGGAAAAAGAGGAGUAGGCAGACAAAUUUAAGUCUUUGAAAUAGCUGAAGAGACAUCUGCAUGUGACUUCUUAGUGUUUAGGUACCUUUAUGACUGGUACAUCACUAAAUAUCACUGAUCAGGAGAAGGAACAGAUUGAAACAAAAGAUUCUUCUAAUAAAUAUAUUUGAAGAUAGUAUCAUAAGUUGUCAGCAUAGAGAACAAAUAGAAGCAUUUUUAAAUUGAAAAAUAUACUUUAUAUAACAUCAAAGACUGGCUCCACCUUUGACAGAAGAAACCAGCUUUUUUUUAAAAUGGUAAAAGUGUAGGAAGUAACAGAACAUUUAUCACGCAGAAAAUGUAUGAAACCAAUUUACUUACACCCUAGGCUUUGCAACUCAGUGAUAUUCAGACAUUAUAUACAUAAUCAUGCAGCUGGUGAGGGCUGAAAGGAUCUUACUCUUUUUCUAGAUUGACAUGUUUUCAGUAUCAUUCUAUUUUGCCACUGCUGCCUUAGGUAAUCUUGGACCAUUCUUGUUUUCUGAUAAGGUGGAAAGAGUGGUGUGUAUGUGCCACAUAUCUCUAAAAUUUUUAGAUUAUUUGAUACCUUCAAAUAGAAUGCUUUUCCUGGAUGUUAUCCAGUGCCCUGUAGAAAUUAUGCUCUGCUGAAUUCUUGAGGCCUUAGAAAACAAGCAUAUUGUUCUUAUGUAUUAAAUCUCAAACUUUCUUUCAUUGUCAUUGCCAUUUUUCCUUUGUUCAGCUCCAGUGUAAAUCUUUUGGAAAAGGGGUGAUUAUUUAAGACAGCCCCAAUUUGUACACUAUAUUCUAAUAGCACUCAAUAAAUUGCAUUGAAGUGUGUGUAUGAGUUGAAAUUUUCAUCUAUCUACUUGUCAAAAACCAAAAUGCUUUGUACUCAUCUGGUCAGAAAGAAAAAGAACAGAUGAUUCCUCUCCUAUUUCAUGGUUGGUUGGCUCUUUUCAAAGAUCUUACCUUCAAACUUCAAUGAAGAGUUUGAAUUUUCAGAUCACCAACAGAAGAGAAUAAUAAAACAAAAUAUAGGAUCCUGUAACAGUGAACAAGAAGAAAAGGACAGUGAACAAGCAUAAAGGAAUUUUUGAAGACAAAGACAUUGAUAUAAAACAUCUACUUGUAUUUCAAACUUGGAAACCUUGUUUGGUAAACUACUAAGUAAAAGAACUAAUUUUAAAUUCUUUAUCUUAUCUUUUUCUGGAGCUUUCACAAGUACUUGGAAGCAGUGCUCUCAGAUUGGCUGACACUGAAGCUGCCAUGUCAGGAUACUGUUGUCGCCAGUAAUUUGAACAGAUCAGUUCUCCAUGGCUAUCUGAACUUUGACUUUAAUAACCUUCUUCUUUCUUGGUUGUAGUCUUCACACCUCUUUUAACCCUGAAUUUCUUGUAUUUUGUUAUUCACUGACAUCCCAAAACUUCUCUGCAGUGUACACUGAUUCUCUGUGAUUCUCUCUCUUAGGUCUUGAUUUUUUUGCUCAGCUCACACAGCUUUAACCUUCCUCCAUUUCCACAUUCACAGGAAAAGGUCUUUCCUUUCUAAUAGUCCUCCCAUGUUGCCUGACAUGUCAGGGUAACUCAGGAAGAUGCUGCAGUUAAACAAGUGUCAAAACUAAGAUCAGAGGCUUAGCUAGUUAUCAGUUAAGCUUCAUGUUAAUUGUUCCAGAAUAGCAUGUCUUUGCCUUCUUACAAGAACACAGCACCUUUGUGAGAAGCCUGUAUCAAAAUCCUUCUCCUGGUGGAAGGAAUCUUAAUGCAUGUCAUAUAAGAUCUCAAAGAGACAUAGGCUUUUUACCACUUUGAAGAGUACUGUUAUCACAAAAACAUUUGAACAGCUUUGCAUCUGAAUAUGAUUUUCCAAGUUAUAUUGUCCUAGAAAUCUGUUCCUGUAUCUUUGAGUGGGAGAGCAUUUACCAUGGAAGAGUCAUCACCAUAACAAUUCUGAUCUGUUGAUGAAUUGUGACAAGCUCUGACAUAUCCCCCUUCCUUGACUGAAGUAUACUGGCUGGUCCUUGCCAUCUUGAUGGUAUCUUUGACAUUAAAUGAGGCAAAAAAAAAAGAGGAAAAAAAAAAUCUCUGCAGCAUCUUCAGAGGAUCUAUGAGGAAAAAAAGUAUUUUAUCUAGGUCACUGAAUCCUCUAAUUACAAAUUUUGCAGAAUACAAUAAAGUGAGUUGCUGUGAAAUGUGUUUAACUUCCCCCAAAACUCCUGCGGAGGCUAAAUUGGCAACUGCAUCUAUGUUGCUAUAUAGAAUGUACACUAUCUGACUGUCUCAAGAAGAAUUUCUAGUCUAUACCUCUCUUCAUGAAUAUAACAUUAGGGGAUAUAACCAAGAAUAUCUAAAUUGCUAAAGUAAAUACAAAUUUUGACAAAGCUCCCUUGAUGUACAGCAGUGUAUAAAUCUUGUACAAAUCAAUCUGCUUCUGUACAGUCUGUCAAUGUCUG
rnacentral:lncRNA from 13 species